GCUGUACCGUGGUGUAGGCGAGUCUAUGCUUAUAACACAUUUCAUGUGAAAUCUUGAAUGAAUCCAAUAAGAAGUAAUCAUUCGAAUGGCUAUAAUAGAAGUUCUCUAUUGUUUUUCCAUGAAGUCUGAGUUGGCAAAGUUCUAAUGCACAAUUGCACGUGGUUUGAUCCUCCUUAUCAACGAAGCUGUUUGUGUGAUUGCUGUUUUAAUUUUUGGAGGUAUUAUCAUCAUCUCUCUGAGCCGACAAUCCAACGUCAGUCAACUCUUUCUCGACUUUCCCUUUUUACUGUGUCCUCGUGUACAUUCAUGCGAAGGUGAGUGUAUUCACGAGGACUUUCUUUCCUUCCGCUUUUCCUACCUGACAUUGGGACUUUUCCAGCUACGACGUUCGACUUCCUCAUCCAUUUAAGAUGGAAUAUUUCUCACGUUACCAGUGCUCCUUCGUCAAACUAUUUCUACAACUUCAAGUUCAAACUACUUCGUCGCCAUCAAAUGAAAAUAUCGAGAAAAGGCUAUUGUCAAUUACAUUUUGAGCUCUGGACGAUGGUUCUAAACGAUUUCAAGAAAAAGUGUUGCGAAACGAACCACCUCCUCCCAGUCUUGUCCAGCCAGAAAACGUCCGAUUGCUGGAAGUGACUCGAGUCGCCUGUACCGCAAUUUCAAGGACUUUGACGCAUAGCCAAGCAGAACGGAAUUGUCAAAAGCCCCAUGUGUCGUGUCUCAUGACUCAUCUUUUCCCACGCCCCUUUUUACGUCGUCUGCCGAAGAAGUUUUCCAUCAAGAAUGUAACUUAACAACUGCUUAACAAAGAAUUUAGAAGAAUGGAACAAAAGUCUUCCAUCAACAAAAACAGAUAUGGAAAGCUUCCAGCUGCAUCAUUCUUCUCUCCUGUCCUUGCGUACGUUUAAGCGAGUGCAAAGGUAUCCAUAUGGUAUGGAGACGUCGUAUAUAUUCUACCUCCAGAAGUCACCACUACUGUAAUCAUUCAUUUGGCCAUCAAGUCAAGGGCUCUGGGUUCGCAUUUUUAGGUCCCUGUUUUUGACGUUUGGUGAAAUCUCUUUGGAUCGCACUGGCCUUCGUCCCAUCUAUGAAUUACCAUUUAGGUCAACCAAUCAAGUAAAUAUCGCCAUUGGUCUGCAGAAGCAAUGUCAUUUUUUGCUGCCUUUAAAAGUGGUUCCACUGGUUUUAGCCACUGACUGACCGUUCGGUGUAUUCCUUUUUAAAAUUUUUUAAACGUUUGAAUUUGAAUGUAAUCUUGCAUUCAAGCAACGAACAGUUGAAUUGCGGGAAGGCAAAAAAGUUAAAACCUCGUUUGCCAGUGUAAUAAUUCGUUUAAUAAUAACAACCAGUGAACAGAUUAAAAGUGAGGAUCGUGUAUUCACUGAAGCUUGGGAUUUUGAGCUGUGGUCGUUCGGCUCUUUGUUGGUUCCCCUUUUUUAGCGUGAACUUGCGUGAACAAGCGUCCUGGGAAAAAUUUCGAACCACACCAGUAUACGAUAGAGAGGGGAUUGUUUUAUCCUCCAGUCUUUUUGGUUACAUUACUAAGCAAGGUGUUUAGAACAGAUUCAACCAGAGUUCAACAGUCACGAGAACUGCAGGAUAACCUUAUUCACUUCGGCUGACCUACUGCAGACAUAUCUCUCCCAUUAAUGUUAGAGUGGGGUGGGGGCUUCCUUGAAGGCUGGCCAGUUGACUGGUGGAUGUAUCCCCGUAUCGACAUGUCCGCAUUUCUUUUAAAACAGCAUCUAAAUGACCGAACAAUAAUUUUGAGACCAAAUUCAGCUGUUAGAUUUUAGUCGAAACACAGGCUAACGAUCAAUGCCUUCCUUUGCCGAACACGACAAAAGUGUCUGUGAGGCAGUUGUUCACCGUCUCAUUUGGUAGUGGUUACAUUCAAAUCAUCGAUCUGCUAAACUGUAGGAUAUCAGCGAGCUUAUUGCAAAAAGGUUUUGAUACUCGUCUCUUCACUUUUCCAUCAGAAUCUGGGCACCAACUCGUAUUGUUA